GUGACAAAAAAAUCAUGUUUCACAACAAUUGAGACAUGAACAUCUACUCUUAUAUGUGGCAUCAUAUAUUUUGUAAUGUCAAACUCCAAACAACCACCGCUAAUUUUUGGAGUAACAUAAACUACUGUUAUCAUGAGAACUUAUCUCUAGAAGUUGGCAAAAAUGAACCAGAUUCGGAGAAUGAUUAGUCUUGUGUGAUGGACGGUAAGGGAUGAUAAAUCAAACAAGUACUCCUAAUGUUUUCUUACCGGUCAGACUAAAUGUACCAGUUUAUUUACCCGCUGGCACGGUUUGCAGUUGCGGCUGGACAACGGUCGUGGUGUUCCUUGAGGCAAUAUUUGCUGCUACAAUUUCUAUGAAACGAAGGUGGUCAAUUGCUGUGGAAUUUAAGGUGUUCCUAGGAGGCCUUUAGUCUGCUUCCUUGGGCCCAGGUAACUAUAGCAUUGGAUAGUAACCAAGGUAAUAAGGCAAUUUCAUUUGGCGUCUUUGCGGUCGUAUUGAUAGCAGAUAAUGCAGGGAAACCUAGGCAGGCAGCUGUUGUGAUGCCUAGAUGCAGGAUAGGUGCAACACCGUAUAAAGCCUUGAAUUUGUUAGAAACAGCUGUCUGAUAUACAAAAUAUCAGAUUAGGUCCCAAUUCAAUAUGAUUUGUGUAGAUAAGGGAUACUGUGAUUAUCAAUCUUAAUUAUGACUUCCUGUGGCAUGAAAUUGUACUAGAGCUUCAGCAUCCGAGAAACCGCCAACAUGAUCAAGAGGUGGUUCAUCACAUCCAUGGAAGGUUGUCUACCUCUGAACUUGAUAAAGUUUCCCUACCUAUGUCUUUUUAUAUUUCCCAAUCCUAGAUGCCUUACCUUAGUUACCUCAGAACUAAAAUGACUCAUAUUUGUUUCUCUACGCGACUGAGCAGCUUACUGCCAUGUUCUUGAGAUUGAGGUGUUCCUUCAUAUGAUUGCCGGAAGUAUUCUUGCUGGGACCUACUAUGCAUUCUCUCCUAAGGGUAGAUUGGUCCAUCCUCACAUCCACUGAAGAUAUUUGAUGGGCUGUCUAACACUCCUCCAAAUCACAUGACAAAAGAGGAACACUUCCUUUUCUCUGGAGCUUCAGGCACUAAUAUCAAAGACUUGGACUGGCCGACUGGGAUGGAUUGGAAAAGAAAACCCAUCUAUAGUUAUAUGACUCCAUUUUCUUUUCUGUUCCAGUAGAUGAAAUGUACUUUAAUGUACAUAUAUGUAAUAUAAAGAUGUAUGGACUGAAAGAGUUGUUCCAAACUGAAACAUAGAUAAUCCACAAUAGUAUAUAUGGGACGGUCAAAUCACUUUGGCAUAUAAGUUCAGCAUAAUUGA